rnacentral:rRNA from 1 species
GAUCAUGGCUCAGGAUUAACGCUGGCGGUAUGCCUAACACAUGCAAGUCGAACGGAAUACUAAUUAAGGGAAUCUCACACUAGUGAGAGGUUCUCACGAGUAGUAUUUAGUGGCGGACGGGUGAGUAACACGUUGGAACCUGCCCCGAAGUGGGGAAUAACUGCUCGAAAGAGUAGCUAAUACCCCAUAGUAUCCGGUUUAUCCGGAUUAAAGAUUUAUCGCUUCGGGAGGGGCCUGCGUCUGAUUAGCUAGUUGGUGAGGUAAAAGCUCACCAAGGCGACGAUCAGUAGCUGGUUCGAGAGGAUGACCAGCCACACUGGGACUGAGAUACGGCCCAGACUCCUACGGGAGGCAGCAGUGAGGAAUCUUCCACAAUGGGCGCAAGCCUGAUGGAGCAAUACCGCGUGCAGGAAGACGCUUUUCGGAGUGUAAACUGCUUUUGUCGUCGAAGAUUAUGACUGUAGACGAAGAAUAAGGACCGGCUAACUACGUG